GAUGAACGCCGGCGGCGUGCCUAAUACAUGCAAGUCGAGCGAACAGACGAGGAGCUUGCUCCUCUGACGUUAGCGGCGGACGGGUGAGUAACACGUGGAUAACCUACCUAUAAGACUGGGAUAACUUCGGGAAACCGGAGCUAAUACCGGAUAAUAUAUUGAACCGCAUGGUUCAAUAGUGAAAGACGGUUUUGCUGUCACUUAUAGAUGGAUCCGCGCCGCAUUAGCUAGUUGGUAAGGUAACGGCUUACCAAGGCAACGAUGCGUAGCCGACCUGAGAGGGUGAACGGCCACACUGGAAGUGAGACACGGUCCAGACUCCUACGGGAGGCAGCAGUAGGGAAUCUUCCGCAAUGGGCGAAAGCCUGACGGAGCAACGCCGCGUGAGUGAUGAAGGUCUUCGGAUCGUAAAACUCUGUUAUUAGGGAAGAACAAAUGUGUAAGUAACUAUGCGCGUCUUGACGGUACCUAAUCAGAAAGCCACGGCUAACUACGUG
rnacentral:rRNA from 1 species